UGAUGGAGUCAGCUCCUUUACUUGCACCUGUGCUGUUGGUUUUACUGGGGAUACGUGUGCAGAGAUCGACGAAUGUUCCAGCAGUCCUUGUAUGAAUGGAGGAGAUUGUGUUGAAGGAGUCAGCUCCUUUACUUGCACCUGUGCUGUUGGUUUUACUGGGGAUACGUGUGCAGAGAUCGACGAAUGUUCCAGCAGUCCUUGUA